UGGCCCCCUUCCCUCACAAUUUCAGACAUCGUGCCUUUAGUAGAAAUUAUUAUUAUUAUUAUAAGAGAUGGAUUGGCAGAAUCGUUAAAGAGUCAGGUACAUUUGCUUUACUGUGAUUUUCUCCGGCUUCUUAUAAACUGAGUUCAAAUCAUGCCGAGGCUGUAAAUUGUAAUGUGUGUCAGUAUAUAAUGUGUGCGCCCCCAGCGCACAUUAGAAUCCAAUGUUAUUCUAAUCUGCACCAUUUGAAAGGUGUUUUUUCUGAAAGUUAUGAGGAAACAAAGUCGACUCGUGUAAAUUUUCCGAAACUCCUCUCCCCAUACUCGGAAAAUUUAUUCACAAUAAAUUCCGAUUAAAUCGGAAUCUAAAUCACCUGAAAAGUAUUCGUAGAAAACAUUAAAAAUAUCCACUUUUCCAAAACGUAUUAGGAAACAAAGUUGAUUGGGGUGGAGUACACUUGUGUAGGUAUGCCGCAUUAUUAGUCGAGUCUAGGUUUUUGGAUUAAUUUGUCCCAAAUUCCUAGCAGUAACGUGUAGUAUUCUUUCCAGUAUUAAUUUAAAUACAUUUAUAACUUGCAAUAUUAGAAAAUUGUGAUGUUCUCUAUCCAAUUUCCUAUCUUGAACAGAUUAGAGUUAAUUUUUUUGACUUGGUGUACUUGUUAGAGCUCCAGGCAAAAUGUUUUGCAAUAUUUAUAUCGGAUCACUAGGGUUUAAGUUGAACAUUUUCCAUGAUUAUCCUUGCUUUUUUAUAUUGCGUCAAUGCAGUGGAUUGGUUGAAAGUCGGACAGGAGUACCUUAUGGGCAUUUGUUCCAGUUUGGGUGGUAGAUUUCAUCUGUCGUCUUGUUUGACUCCAAUAUUCGGUCUUUGAGCGCCUUCUAGAAAGAAUCCGAGCCAAGUAUCCGGUUUGAGGAUAAAUCCCUCCCUUCCGUUUCCCAGUCUUGGAUGCCCUGAAAAUAUAAAGGGAUUAUGGGUACUAGCCCUCCCAUCCUGACUAAGAGGUAAAAUAACUGCUCUAUGUGUGUAUGUGUGCUAGUGUUAUGACGUGAUGCUUGUGAGCGGUGUAGUUCAUUUCCCCGUCUAGCCAUGGGGAAAUAUAACCUUGGAUGGAAACUAGUGACAGUGGCCAACAGGAAAGGGAUGCUGUCAUAGAAAUUCUACCUCAACAAAUUCUGUAUGCCCCAUGCAGGGUUUUUUUUAAGUGGACAUUAAAAAGAUUACGAUGAUGAUGAUGAUUCUGUCCCUUCAUUGAUAUUUUAAGUGACAAGAACAAAAUGCGGCGACAUUAAUGGGAGGUUCCUAAAUUGAUGAAGGUCGACGGGUUCCGAGGGCUCCUUUAACCUUCUUUAUUAAACGCUGUAGUAUUGACAUCUGGCGUGACUUCCUACUUUCAUUCUUCCAAAAUGUCAUCGUAAAACUUUAACAUUAAGUUGACUCUUGUUUGAAUGCCAUUGUCGGUUUCCCAAUCAUGAUCAUUAUCACCGUGUUCAACAAAUGAAAUACAAAAUUUUAACAAAAGAAUUCUUGGUAUUUUGCUUCUUAUUUCCUGAUUACCUCCAUUUCUACGAUUUCCUCUAGUGUGUCAACCUCGUGUUGUUCAAGUUGGAAAACUAAUUCCUGAAAUUUGUCGUACAAAAGUUGCUCACCUUGGCUAUCCAACAACAGAUCGACAUCAUCUGUUUAAAUAUUAUCAAUGCCAAUAAAUUUAGCCACGACAGAGACUUUUUCUAACACUUCUUAAAACAUUUUCUAUCUUUACACAUUUACUCACUGUUUCAUAACUGAACUUAUGUCAUGUGCCAUUUAGCAUGAAUUGUAACACUUUCCCCCAAGGUAGAUUCAAUGCUUGCAAUAUCCAUUAGGCCAGCUGUCCCCAACCUUUUUAGCAGCACGGACCGGGGGAUCACGUACUGAACAAAAAUAAAUGAUAAAAUGACAUAAUAUAUAGUUUAUUACGUACUAGCACUGUGACCCGGCAACGCCGGGUCACACUGCUAGUGCAUGCAUAUACAGCUGCGUGCGUGCGCACAUACACGCGAGUACUGUCCAAAUCUCCGACCAAUCACAUACAGCCAGCCGGCAUUCAAUUGGCGUAUCAAGUUUCGGGCAUUUUGAUUGGGUUUUGGAUAGAGAAUUCACAAAAAGUCACUUCUAUUGAUUUUUUAAUGGCUUUGCAGGGUGACUGGGGAAAUGUAAAGAUGUGCACGACCACCCUUGGACGGUUUUGAAUGGCCAUAGAAAGUGUGAGCCCUCUAACUGAAAAAUUGUGGAUUUGUAUAAAGGAUACGCACGCAGACAUUUUGCCAUUUAUAUACAGAGAGAUAUAAGACGUAUAUCUAUUAUAUAAAAUUCGUUCUGUCUGUGUGUGUGUGUGUCUUCUAGGAUCUCGGGCAUCCUCCAUCCGAUUGCGCUCAAAUUUGAUUUGUAGAUACCGACGGUAUUGCAAAAAUCGAUUCCAGGUGAGAAUGCGAUCGAUAAAGCCGUGGGAACGUGCAUUUUAAUGCGCAAGUACAUCAGCUGUUGCGAUCGAUACUACGCGUACGCGAGAAAAAUGCACGUGCAGUUUGCGCAAAAAAAGCUGGCUGGCUUGAAAUAAUACCACAAAAUCCAUUGGACGGGGGGCGUUUUGCUCGUAUGUAAUAUAUGAUGCAUAUAUAAUGCAAAUAAUAAAAAGAAAAAACUUACACACUGCGAUUGUUAAUAAAAUAGAAUUUGGUAAAUGGAAAAUGAAAGAAGUUCGUCUCGUGUGUGUUUGUCAUGCACCACCGCUUGACAACCAGUGUUGGUGUGUUUACGUCCCUGUAACUUUUCGGUUCAGCAAAAGAGACCCAAUAAAAUAAGUACCAGGUUUAAAAGUGAAAAAAAAAAUUAAGUCCUAGGGUCGAUUUGUUCGACUAAAAAUUCCUCAAGGUGGUGCCCCAGCAUGGCCGCAGUCCAAUGACUGAAACAAAUAAAAGAUAUAAUAUAAUCGUUAAUACAGUUAGUUGAAGACGCUACAUUCUACGCUUCUGACUUGAAGCAAUUCAAUGCAACGAAUCAAAUUUUUCUCAUUUUUCGGCAGGUGUUGACUUACAGCAAUUUAAACACAAUAUGAAGUCAUCAAUCUUAACAGACUUGGAAUGCCUGCAAGAACUAUAGGCUCUACACCUUCUUCCAAGCUCGUAAAUUAAUAAUAGCAUUCUGUAUAUUUCUUAUCUAUGCUGUGUUGCGCAUGUGCAUUAUUGACCUGCACUCGGUCGCUUAUAAAAUUUUCCAUACGAUGAUGUCAUUUCUGCCUCACUAUACCCUUCUUAGAUUUACAGGGAAGGGUGUAUUGUAUAAGGUACUACAGGCUUUUCCAAAGCGCAACAUAACCGAGUCAGUCAGACAGAUUAGACACUAGUACUUGACUGGCACUUUUUAUCUAUCCCCGGCAAUAUUUAUUCCGGUUUAGUUUGAGCUCACAACACUAAGAGAGUAGGAACAACUGACCAAAAUACUUCAAUCUAACUUUGUAAUGAAUCGAUCAUCUUGCUGCUUUGCACGAAUUACGCACGAAUUACAAUGCCCGCCAUACACACAUUACGCAAGCACACACAUCAACUACAUCAGAGACACAUACUAAUAUUUAUAUUCACACGCAUAAAAUAUAACUGACAAGCACACCCAUCACGUACACUCUAGCCUGGAAUGUCAAACAUACUGCUCGCGGCCAUGCGUAGUCUAUCCUCCAGCUCAGUUUUAUAAAUGAAAAAUAAUAAUUAUUUUUCAAUUCUAAAAUAUUCUGUAAUAUAAUAUAUAUUGCUGUCAUGAAAUCAGAGUUGGAGCGUGACUAUAGUCGUGAUUAGCACAUGUUCUGAUUUUUAAAAAAAUCAAUGCACAUUAAGGACUCAUUUGCUUGAAUGAUGUGACUUAUUUCUCCUUCACUUUGUCUUUACAGAGAAAUUUUUUCUUUUAUUUCUUUUUAAUUUUUUCUUUUUAAUAUUUAUGCUCGUGUUCAUCUGAAUAGAUUCUAGUGGUAUAAAUGACAUUGAAAGGUUUUCCAAAUGAAAGGUGUGAGCUAAGCAUAACUUUUCCACUAAAAAAAAAAAAUACCAAAAAAACCUACCUACAUGCAUUCAUUUGCACUCUAAGGACUCUUACUUGAUAUAACUAUGUAUAAACAUGGGGGUGAGGAGAUAAUUUUUUUCCAUACGUCUUUGCAUACAAACUUUGCAAACAUCUCUCAUUCUUUCGUUUAUAUACAAAAUCUUGAUUUAUGUUUAUUUGUCUCUUCUCGACACUCGCAGUAUCUGCAGCAUUCUGUGUAGUUGAAAGAAUAACAAAUAAGUGACACUGAACAAAAUAAAUUUAUUUUAUUAAUUCAAUGGUUAUCAUUAAAAUUUAAUUUAUCGAUUGUCAUUGAGAUAGCCACCCGAAGGGUUCAGUCCCACGGUAUGACAUCUUUGGCAUGUCUUGUGCUGACCAAAGCCUUAUGGACAGAUUUAGUUGAUAGAAACUGAAAAAAGCCCGUACACUUACUUUCGUAUUUGUAUUACUUUAUCCAAUAGCCCCAUACACACAUCUGGAUAUUAAUGGUGCUCUACUCUGAUAGUACCCUACACAUACCUUGUUAUUUGUGGUACUCCGAUAGGUUUAUACACAUACGUUGAUAUUUGUGGUACUCUAUUCCAGUAAAUAAAGCUGUAGUCUCCGAUUAAUUUUAUCAGUUUGUCACUGGCAUUAACGAUGGUUUGAAAUUUUGGCACAAGGGCAGCAAUUCUGAGGGAGGGGAUAGGUCAACUAGUACUUAACUGGUAUUUUCUUUAUUGCCCACAGGGGGAUAAACAUAGAGGGGACAAACAAGGACAGACAAAGGGAUUGUCGAUUACAUCGACCCCAGUGCGUAACGGGUACUUAUUUAAUCGACCCCGAAAGGAUGAAAGACAAAGCCGACCUCGGCGGAAUUUGAACACAGAACGUAAAGACGAACGAAAUGCCCGCUAAGCAUUUCGCCCGGCGUGCUAACAAUUCUGCCAGCUCGCCGCCUUUCCACUGGUAUUGCAAACGGAAUUACUGUCAACAGAAACUGGAGCAAGAAAAAUUGAAUGAACUCUUAAAUGACAUUAACAAGAGACAGAAUUGAUUGAUCCAAACGCGUAUUUCAUAAAAGCUUGACGUCGUCUUUUGGGACAGCAAUUACUGCAAGGGUUGAUGCUAUAAGGCGGUGAGCUGGCAGAAUCCAUAGCAAGCCGGGCGAAAUAUUUAGCGGUAUUUCGUCUGCCGCUACGUUCUGAGUUCAAAUUCCGCCGAGGUCGACUUUGCCUUUCAUCCUUUCGGGGUCGAUUAAAUAAGUACCUGUUACGCACUGCGGUUGAUGUAAUCGGCUUAAUCCCUUUGUUUGUCCUCUCUAUGUUUAGCCCCCUGUGGGCAAUACAGAAACAAAUUACUGCAAGGGUUAUGCAAGUCACUUUGGUUUUUGACAGAUCCGUACCCUUAUGUAUGAACUCUGCCGAAACAUAGUAAUGUUAUCAACCUUGUUUCAGUACCAUCAGUCUAUGAACUUCUAGAAGGAUUAUUUACUAAAUUUCACUUGAAUGAACUAAGCCUUUCUCUGUAUAUUUGCCUUUUGUCAGCUUGAAAGAGAGCACUCUGGAAAUCGAUAUGUCUUGUCCUUUAACUUUCGAAGCAGCCCAAGCUCUGCAAGAAUAUCAGACCGAUUUCUAUUACAUGUCAAUAUAAAGAAUACAUUUGGCUUCCCAAAACGAUGAACGAUUCUCAUCAAGUCCUGAAAAAAUCUUUUGCAGAACCUAGAAUCUGCAAUGCAGGAAGUUAAAAGCACAACAUGUGUACCAAUAAGGCCAUUUGGCGUGUACGCACGCCUAGUUAAUCGAGCCUUUGUAAUAAAAACUAUAUUAUUGCUCCCACGAUUCCUUCGAAUUUCUUGGAGUCACUCUUCAGCUUUACCUACCCACAAUGCAUUCAUCAUUAUCAUCGUCAUCAUUUAACGUCUGUUUUCUACGCUGGCAUGAGUUAGACGGUUUGGCCGGAGCUGGUUAGUCAGAAAGCCACACAGGGUUCCAUCGUCUGUUUUGACUUGGUUUCUACGACUUGAUGCUCUUCCUGGCGCCAACCACUCAAUAAUGUACCGGAUGUUUUUUACGUGUCACCAACACGGGUUCCUUUUAUGUGUCAGGUGCCUUGUGAUAAACUGCUUCACAGCAGGAACAUUUCAAAAUCGUUUAUUCGACGCACCAUUCUGUAUGCAUAAAAUAUCCAUGUCUCAGAUUUCCUUUUGUAAAUGAUAUCUACAAAGCUAUGUGUGACGCGCAUGUUGUUUUUGGUGUUGCUACUGUUCCAUUCUAUAUAGUGUUGCUAUAAAUUCUAUCAUCAUCAGCGGGAAAAAAUUUGUCCUUCAUUUAAAGUGCAUAUGUCUUAGUUCAAAGUAUUUUUGUUGAUAUUUGUCCUGGUGUAGUUUUCAGGGCAUUGUCUUAGAAAGUGGCGUUACCUCUAGCUCUUGUCGACAUUUUGUGGCAAAUACAAGAAAGUAAAAUCUAAAAGGUUGAUGCGAAAUGACACAGAAAAAAAGCAUGCAAUUUUAUUAACUUUUGAUAAAAACUAUGAUCUAGAUAUAGAGUGAUGCAUAGACAGAUGUUAAGGAGCCAGAAAAGAAGACGACAACAGUAACGGUUUCUGGCUUAGACACAAGACCAAAAGAUUUAGCGGAGGGUUAGUCAAUAUCAUCAGCCUCACAACUUGAUUGAUAUAUGAUUUCAUAGACCCAGAAAAGCAAAUUUGGCCAUGGUUGGAUUUGAAACCGAAGCGUAAGGAUUCCGGAAAAAAGGGUAUUUUGUAUGACGUUCGUACAAAAGGCGGCGAACUGGUUAAAUAAUUAAUUAGUACAGUGAGCAAUCUAUCAAAAGUAUUAGAAACCACAACCUAGUUAGACUCACAGCUCAUCAAAACUCCGAAACAUUCUCCUCCAACUAUAAUUUGGGUCUUUCGAUUUUAGAUGUGAGCAUCAUUAUCGUCAUCGUUUAACGUCCGCUUUCCAUGCUGGCAUGAGUGGGACAAAUGUAAUCGACGAGGAUGAGAUUCGAACUCACGCGAGGAGACCCCAAUGGAUUAGCAAUCCAUCGCCUUACUCGUCUUUUAUCCGAAAUUCCUGGACACUCUCUCAUGAUCUAGAAAGCGUUUCAGUUUCACUGUGGAGACGUCUUUUAUUUUUUUUUUGGGGGGGGGGGGAUUAUCGAUAUUCGUUCUUUAUUUCUUCUUAUCUCAGAACAUAGGGUCUACAACUCGUUUUCUUCCUUAGCAAUUCCUAGAUUUUCUUUCUGAUCACCAUAAAGCUUAGGGUGGUUAUUUCUUCAUGAGGAAUUGCCACCUUCUUAUAUGCUUCCUUGCUUUAUGCCCCUCUUUUAUACUUCCUUGUUCUCACAUUUCUCCAGUCCCUGUCUCCCACCCCAUCGUCCUGCGGAAGCUAGGGACUGAUGAUAGCGAUGGGUUGGUAUUGCGCUUUUUACCCUCAGAUUUGUCUUGUUCUGGAGGACCUCUCUUGACUUCUCGGUCGUCAUAUGCCUUUGAUAAUGGUGGUAAAAGGGUCGAAGCCAGCAAACUUGCAUUUACAGACUUACUGGUUUUGCUCUGUUGUAACAGUGCUUUUUAAACAGCUGUAAUAGGCUUCUGUUUUGGCAGCUGCAGUUGUUGGUAUUAUUGUCUGUAAUACUGUUCACCGAAUUCCGUUAUUUUUUUCUUUUUUCCUCAGGUGACUUAUACUGUCAUACGUGUGAGCAACUAUGUCAUCUGCUCUGUGCCAAGAGCCAGAAUUUCUGCCUUUGCGAUGGAGCAAAGCUCUGAGAAAUAUUUUUUCUUUGGGUUGUCAUUCCUAUCUGGAUGUCCAUACAGACCUAACUCAACCAUGUUUUUGCCGUUCACCACCAAAUUCAUCAUAAUUCUGUAUUGAUUUGAAAAUGUGAUGUCAUGCCAAGUGCCGACAUCAGUACGAAUAUCUUUGGCCAUAAUUUUAGGGUUCCUAAAAAGAAACACAGUGGCAUAAACCUAUUGAUAGACGUGUAGCACACCAUCUCUGCAUAUGUCAUUGUCUCGACUGUGAAGUAUCAGGAAAAUAUGCUUCUAUAUGCCAUUCUUCGUUUGAGGAAACGACUUAUGACUCUCCUAACUCUUUUUUUGAGAACAUGAAGUUAUGUCAUUUUCCUUUUAAGCUCCGGGUCAAGGAGGUAGUGUCUUUUGUAAUACACAUUGCCUACUUGAGCUGGUUCAAGUUGAUGCAAAUCAUGUCUGUUUAUACUGUCGUUGCUGUUCGUACAAUUUCGCCUAUGUAUCAAUUUUUGAAGCUAGCUAUUCCUGGGAAGGUCAUGGGGUGUUGUACUCAGGCACUUCUUCCCUUCUAUAGGGUCCAAUCAGAAGCAAACGUCAUCACAUAUUCUUACUGGAAAUAUUACUUACAGUAUGUUUUGCUCGGAGAUCAGCGAGUCUCUUCAAGUUGAGCCGCUAAUGAUUCUGCCAACUCCUUAAUAAUAAUAAUAAUAAUAAUAAUAAUAAUAAUAAUUCUUUCUACUAUAGGCACAAGGCCUGAAAUUUGGGGGAGGAGGAUAGUCGAUUACAUCGACCAUUGACCCCAAAAGGAUGAAGCGACAGACGAAAUACCUAUUUCUUUACUACCCACAAGGGGCUAAACACAGAGAGAACAAACAAGGAUAGACAGAUGGAUUAAGUCGAUUUCAUCGACCCCAGUGCAUAACUGGCAUUUAUUUAAUCGACCCCGAAAGGAUGAAAGGCAAAGUCGAACUCGGCGGAAAUUGAACUCAGAACAUAACGGCAGACGAAAUAGUAUUAACUAUUUUGCCUGCAUUCUAACGAUUCUGCCACCUCGCCGCCUUCUUGAUAAAAAUAACAAUCAUUAUGAUAAUAAUAAUAAUAAUUCUUUCUACUGGAAGCACAAGCCCUCAAAUUUGGGGGAAGGGAUUAAGUCGAUUACAUCGAUCUCAGUACUCAAUUGGUAAUUAUAUUGUCGACCUCGGCCGAAUUUGAACUCAGAACGUAGGAACAGGCGAAAUACCGCUAAGCAUGUCGUCCAGCGCGCUAACGAUUCUGCCAGCUCAUCGCCUUAAUAAGAGAAAUGAAAGAAGAGGGAGAAGGAAAAGUAGAUAUAUGAGGAAGGUGACAAAGUGAAAGACAGAUAAGGAAAUAAAAAGAACAGAAAGAAAAGAAAGUGGAAUAAAAGGAAGAAUAAGGAAAGAGACGAGAGGAAGAACAAAAGGAAGAAGACGUGACGGAAGAAGAAUAAGAUGUGCCUGAUGUUGUUAUUGCUGUAGAAAUGGAAGAUUCAGGAGAGAACCGAUCCAAAUUCCUUGUUGUAGUAAUUAUGUCUUUCAGUUUUGAGAUAAUAUCCUACCGGAAUUAAUAAGAAGACAUAAAAGAAAGAAAAAAUACCAAUAAUAUAUUUGUGGUCAAUUGAGACGACCAGCGCUCAUCCAAAUCAACCAGAGAAUAAUUCUGAGUGCGUGUGCCGAAUACGAAAAACAAGAAAAGAAACACACAUACACACACACACACACACACACACACACACACACACACAAAAAAAAAAGGAAAAAUUAUUAUCAUUUCAUAAUAAUAUUUCAACAAAUACUAAAAUUUGUAAUAAAUUAAAUUACCUCUAAAGUUGCACUGAAUAUAAUUCUAACGCUAUUUGAUGCCAGAAUAAUUAACGUGUAAUUAAAUCUCACAAUUAGUGAAAUCACAAUUGCUUGUCUGUAGAACUGACCGAAAACCAAGGCCGCUAUUGUCUUCUUUCAAAUUAAAAGAGAUAGCAUGAGCUAAUUUUUUUUCUCCUUUUCUCGUUGUGUGAAUGUAUUGUGUGUGCGUGUAUAACAAUAUGUGUGUGUGUAUAUAUAUAUAAUAAGAAUUCUUGGAAGUGUAUAUUGAAAUAUAUCCAUAAUGAUAGAUUCUGAUUAAUUUUUCUGUUAUAAUUAUUAGUGCAUAUAUAUAUAUAUAUAUAUAUAUAUAUAUAUAUAUAUAUAUAUGUGUGUGUGUAUGUGUGUGUGCAUACAUAUCUAUAACAAAUAUGUAGACAUAUGCGUGUGUAUUCAUGUACGCAGACCUAAGCACGCGCAGAUACACAUGCAUAUAUGUAUGUAUGUAUGUAUCCAGAGACUAAUGUGUGUGUGUGUGUGUAUAUAUGUAUCCACAAACAUACGUGUAUAUAUAUAUAUAUAUAUACACACACAUGUAUUUGUAUUCAUAUGCUUAUAGAUAUGUAUACAUGUCUAUAUAUAUAUAUAUAUAUAUAUAUAUAUAUAUAUAUAUGUGUGUGUGUGUGUACCCACUUAUAUAGACAGCUGUAUAUGAAUACUUGUGUAUAUAAGUAUAUGUGUGUGUAUUUGUAUAUUUGUGUGUGCAUGUGUCAGUCUGACUGUGCGCACAUACACAUACUCAGACAUAUUUCGUCUUCUUCCUCCUCCUCCUCCUGGACUAGAUGGUCUCCAUACCCACCACGUGCUACCACACCUACCCAGUUCAUCAGAGGCUUCAUGACUCAAUUCAUCUACAGCAUGUCUCCCGCCACCCCACCCCCAACCCAGGCGUAGUCUGUAAAAUAUGACUUACACCGCACCCCUCACGCUCCACAUAUACAGAUUGAAAAUGGGCGUUCCCAUGAUGCCGAGAUGGGUCACUCGAAGAUGUUUUGAAGUUUGACCAUUACGUCUUUUGCAUUUAAUGAAAAUGGCUCGGAUAUUACUGUUAUAUACGAAUGAAUGUCUAACUGUGUCGAGCGAAUAAGAAAUUCGUGCUCAAUGUAUAUUGUAAAGUAUUAUAGAGUAUAUGCGGAGGCGCAAUGGUCCAGUGGUUAGGACAGCGGAAUCGCGGUCGUAGGAUCGCGGUUUCAAUUCCCAGACCGAGCGUAGUGAGCGUUUAUUGAUCAAAAACACCUAAAGCACCACGAGUCUCCGGCAAGAGGUGGUGGUGAACCCUGCUGUACUCUUUAACCACAACUUUUUCUCACUCUUUCUACCAGUUUCUGUUGUACCUGUAUUUCAUUCUGUGUACCUGUAUUUCAUUUCUGUUGUACCUUGUCACAUUCUGUGUCACGCUGAAUCUCCCCGAGAGCUACGUUGAAGGUACACGUGUCUGUGGAGUGGUCAGCCACUUGCACGUUGAUUUCACGAGCAGGCUGUUUCGUUGAUCGGAUCAACUGGAACCCUCGUCGUCGUAACAGACGAUGUGCCACGAGAGAGUAUAUGAUUUAUCGAAACAAUGUAUAUUUCACAACCUUAGUUCCAUGCCGCUGCAUGUUCUCGCUUAUGGAUCGCAAUCAUGUGUUAUGCCUUUCAUCCUUUUGAGGUCGAUAAAUUAAGUACCAGUUGCAUACUGGGGUCGAUCUAAUCGACUGGCCCCCUCCCCAAAAAUUUCGGGCCUUGUGCCUAGAGUAGAAAAGAAAAGAUUCAGUGUCAAGGCGUUGAGCUGGCAGAAACGUUAGCACGCUGGGCAAAAUGCUUAGCGGUAUUUCGUCUGUCGUUACGUUCUGAGUUCAAAAUUCCGCCGUGGUCGAAUUUACCUUAUUUCAUUAUUAUCCACAAGGGACUAAACAUAGAAGGGACAAACAGGGACAGACAUAGGUAUUAAGUCGAUUACAUCGACCCCAGUACGUAACUGGUACUUAAUUUAUCGACCCCGUAAGGAUGAAAGGCAAAGUCGACCUCGGCGGAAUUUGAACUCAGAACGUAACGGCAGACGGAAUACUGCUAAGCAUUUCGCCCGGCGUGUUAACGUUUCUGCCAGCUCGCCGUGGUCGAAUUUACCUUUCAUCCUUUCGGGGUCGAUUAAAUAAGUACCAGUUACGCACUGGGGUCGAUAUAAUCGACUUAAUCCGUUUGUCUGUCCUUGUUUGUCCCCUCUGUGUUUAGCCCCUUGUGGGCAAUAAAAAAAAUAAGAAGAUUCAGUGUCAAGAAUAUAUAUAUACAUAUACAUUGACGGUGCAUGGCUCAGUGGUUAGAGCGUUGGACUCACAAUCAUGAGGUCUUGAGUUUGAUUGCCGGACUGGGCUGUAUGUUGUGUUGUUGAGCAAGACACUUUUUCACAUUGAUCCAGUUUAAGACAUCACUGGUGCCAAGCUGUAUCGGCCUUUGCCUUUUCGUUGGAUAACACUGAUGGCGUGAAGACGGGAGGCUGCUAUGCAUGGGCGACUGCUGGUCUUCCAUAUAAACAUUGCCCGGAGUUGUGCCUCGGAGGGUAACUUUCUCGCUAGGUGCAAUCCGGUGGCCAUUCAUGACCGAAGGGGGUCAUUACCCUUUUAUAUAUACAUUGUGUGUAUGUAUAUAUGUGGAGGCGCAAUGGCCCAGUGGUUAAGGCAGCGGACUCGCGGUCGGAGGAUCGCCGUUUUGAUUACCAGACUGGGCGUUGUGUGUGUUUAUUGAGCGAAAACACCUAAAGCUCCACGAGGCUCCGGCAGGGGGUGCUGGCGACUCCUGUUGUAUUCUUUCGCCCCAACUUUCUCUCACUCUUUUUUCCUGUUUCUUGGGGGGUGGGGAACACAUACACCAUAGAAACCGGGCCCAAGAGCCUGGCUAGGCCUAAAAAGGAUGAAAACGAAUUAUGUAUAUAUGUUCGGAUAUAUAUAUGUAUGUAUGUAUGCAUGUACGUGUGCACGUAUGUAUGUAUGAAUGUACUUAUGGACGUGUAUAUAUUAUAUAUAUAUAUAUGUGUGUGUACGUGUAUGUAUGUAUGCAUAUGUGUGUGUACGUGUAUGUAUGUAUGCAUAUGUGUGCGUAUGUGUACGUAUGCAUGUAUAUGUGUGCGUAUAUGUAUGUAUAUGUGUGCGUAUAUGUGUGCAUGCAUAUAUAUAAGCGUAUAUAUAUGUAUGCGUAUAUGUAUGUAUAUGUGUAUGUAUAUGUGUACGUAUGUAUAUGUGUAUGUAUGUAUACAUACAUGUACGAGCGUUUGUAUGCGUAUAUAUUGAAUAUGUGUUUAAAAUCAUGCGAUGAGUAUAUAGAGACAAAUUACCCAGGCAGGUACCAUAAGAGCUCUCAGGUAUAAUCCAGGCUCUGGCUAACCGCUUCAAGUAGUAACCAAGAUCGUUUAGCGUGAGCAAUCUCACUGUAUUUCUUCCGAUGGAUAAAUCCGAGUUCUGUUCACUGGUUUAUGAACAUUUUCGGGAUUGGAACCCCAAAACAAAAUGGAGACUGAUAAUUAUGCAGCAUGUAUAUAUGAAUGUAUUUUUCAAAUGCGUAAGAUAUUAAAUAUUUUUACUGUUGCAUUACUAUAGAAAUGGAAAAAACAGUUAAAAUAAUAGAGAAUGAAUAAAUAAAUUUUGGAUGAAUAACAACAGCUUAGAGAAAACAAAGAACUGCAGACAAAAACAAUCUUCGUGUUCAUUAGCUUAUUCGUCACUCUUCCGAAGUAUAAAAGAAAUGGUCUCAACAGAAGGUUUUAGAUCGAGAUUCCAGCAAAGCAAUUCGAAUUAACAUUGUUUUUUUUUUUUCUCUUCACCACAUAAAUUAUAUCCAUUUAGCUUUUAAUUGCUCUCUUAUUAAGGAUGAAAACACUAAUGAAAUCUAUUGGAUGGAGCGUCAGCUAUGGGAUUAUUUUUAUGAAAUUUUUACAAAAUGGAUAAAAUUAACGCCGGAUUAUAGAAAACAGAAUUCUAUAUUAUAAUUAGGAGAUAGAACGGAUCUUUUCGGUUUGAACGGCAGUUUUUUAAAAUAAUUUCCACGUAACUAAACACUUUCAAACUUCGUAUUCUGGUAGAAUGUGUUUAUAAAACAUCUUUUUCUCUUGGCUUUAUUGGGAAAAUUCUAUAGUUUGUAAGAUAUUUGUUGUUGUUUUUCUGCGAUUUCAACCAAUCAAUGACGUCUGUUGAGGAGAAAACAUUCUUUGCCAUAUGAAAAUGUCCCUCGUUUAAGAAACAGAUUGGGUUUAUUUACAUUUCUGAAGAAAAAAAUAUAGCAUUCCCCCACCCCUAACCCUAACCCACCCUAAAUAACCCUAACACUAAAAUAGAUUGAAAUGCAAUAGAUCGACACUAGGGUCAUAAUUAUGGGUGACAAUUUCAUGACACCGCUAGAAAAAACUGCCGUUCAAACCGAAAAGAUCCGAUAGAACUAUUGGUUAACAUGCAGUUUGCGGUAUUAAAAAAAUUAAAGUGAAUUGCAAUAGAAACCGGAAUUGACGACAGAGAUAUUGUGUAAUUUCAUCUUUUAAUUUUUACUUGUUCCAGUUAUUAGACUUCGGCCAUGCUAGGGCACCGCCUUCAUGAAAUUUUAUUCGAAUGAAUCAACUCCAGUGCUAAUUUUUCUUUAAGCGUGGUAUUUAUUCUAUCGGUCUCUUUGCCCGAACCGCUAACUUAUGGGGAUGCAAACAUACCAACACUGGUUGUCAAGCGCUUGUGGUGUGGAUACACACACACAUAUAUAUCGAUACAUAGACACACACGGUGGGCUUCUUUCAGUUUCCGUCUACCAAAUCCACUCAAGGCUUUGGUCGCCCCGAGGUUAUAGUAGAAGACACUUGCCCCAAGGUACCACGUAAUGGGACUGAACACGGAACCAUGUGUUUCUGAAGCAAGGUUCUUUUAUUCGCAGGGAACAUGUUUUUUUCGCAAGCUUCUUACAGUACAACCACGCUUGCGCCUAUAUAAACAAUUCGACAUAACUAAUGUAUAGAACGCAUAUAUAUAUGUGUGUGUGUAAUGUUGUGUCUAGGGAGCAUCAUACUGCCUUAAUAUCUAACACACUCACCGGUUUAAUUUUCACUCAUUUAUUAUUUAUAUUUUUCCCUUUCCAAAAUUUUCGUUGCUUUUGCAACCUUGUGAAUGGGUGUUGACUUUCACAUAAAGAAUCUUGCAAACCAGAUACAAAAGCGAAGUAUAUAUUUAAUAUAACACGAAAACCAUACAUAUCUUUUAUAUCAGAUGAAAGCAAUUAUUUCUCAGAGGUGUUCGUUGUUGGGUUUUAUAUACAUUGGAACGGUGUAUGUCACCUGCUGCUUCUGAAAUAUAUACUAUACACGUUGGUGCUUGUGGACGUUGAAUAACGAGGGAGUUCUUUAUGUUCUUUUUCAUGACAUUUUGUGAUGUUUCUGUCGUUAUUUCCAAUUUUUAUCUCAAUUUAAUUUCCACAUUUUUAGACAAUUUACUUUCACUUUCUUUUUACUACCGUAAACUGUACGUCAACCGAAUUAUGUGUGUAACAGCAAGUUGUUACACACAUGCACACACUAUGCAUAACUCUGCCAACCACAUAGACACACACACACGCACACACACACACACCUAUGCAUAACUCUACCUACCAAACACACACACACACACUUUUUGUUAGGAUGUGUGAUGUGUCAUAGUCAAUUCAAACAACCCUGUAACGAAAGACAAACAGAGCCCCAGCGGCAUUUGAACUCAGAAUGUUAGGGUGCGAAAAGAAAUAAUUUAAGGCAUUUUCUUCGAUAUUCUACCAAUCAGUCAAAUCUUUCAUUGUAUUUAUGAAGCAAAAGUAAUAAUACCCUACAUUGAUUCCUUUUAGUAAGUUCUCUGACCCCCAACAAAGGGGCCAUCAAUAUGCCGUGAUUGGUUGAAUUCCAUCUUCCUACUGGAAUUGAUUUUCCAGAUUUCUGAAGGUUCCCUACGAAGAGAAAUGAAUCAGAAGAUAGUGUGGGGUGUCGUUAACUUUUGAAAAUGCCUCAUUACGCCAUUUUGUGACACAUGUUCAGUCACGUGUGUCAAAUGAAUUUGAAUUAAUGUCGUUUACUGGCGAGAACAAAUUAAGCCUAUUGACAGCUGAAAUGAUGAGGUUAAGCUGCAUACGCACAGGCACGCUUACAAACAUACUCACACACACGCGCAUACAUGUGCAUUCGCUCGUACUCAAACACGUGCAUGUAUAUCUGUGUGUCAGUGACUGUCUGAUUACCUAGCUAGCGAGCUGUCUGUCUGUCUGUCUAUCUAUCUAUCUAUCUAUCUAUCUAUCUAUCUAUCUAUCUAUCUAUCUAUCUAUCUAUCUAUCUAUCUGUCUGUCUAUUUCUAUCUAUCUGUUUAUCUAUCUGUCUGUCUGUCUAUCUAUCUAUAUAUCUAUCUAUCUAUUUCUACCUAUCUGUCUGUUUGGCCAUCUAUCUAUCUAUCUAUCUAUCUAUCUAUCUAUCCUCUCCUUUUUUUGUCCUCUUUCUUUCCUUUUACGAUCCCUUUUGAUCGAAAACCAACCCCCUUUAUUUUUACCCCCAAAAGAAAAGCUCUACCUUGUAAUUUGUUCUGUCUGUGUGCAGCCCUGUGUGGCUAAGAAAGAAACAUAUCUAUCUAUCUGUCUGUCUGUCUGUCUGUCUGUCUCUCUCUCUCUGUCUGUCUGUCUCUCUCUCUCUCUCUCUCUCUCUAUAUAUAUAUAUAUAUAUAUAUAUAUAUAUAUAUAUCCAUCUAUCUGUCUGUCUGUCCAGCUACUUUUUUGUCUAGCCAUGAAGCUCUUUUUGCUUAUGUAUCUGUGUGUCUAUCUCUAUCUGUCUCUUUGUGCAACUAGUUUCUGCAUCUCUCUCAGUGUGUAUGUGUGUGCAUGUAUGUGUGUGCCUUUAUAUCUAUCUAUCUAUCUAUCUAUCUAUCUAUCUAUCUAUCUAUCUAUCUAUCUGCCUAUCUAUCUAUCUAUUUGUCAGUCUGCCUAAAUCUUCUUUCUGUGUCUCUCUCUCUCUCUCUCUCUCUCUCUCUCUCUCUCUCUCUCUCUCUCUCUCUCUCUCGUCUGUGUUUAUUUAUUUCUAGUCAUCGACGUUUGUCUUUGAAUUCAUCUCAGUAUAUCAGUCUAUCUCUUUUUCUAUUCUCAUUAAUACUUUUCCCGUCCAAUUAUCUUCGAUAAUAAAUUACUCAGAGAACGGAUGUCUAUCAAACCCCACCCUUCUCCUCCAGUCAUUAUGUCUGCUGUUAGUUAACAACAUCGCUGUGGCUCUCCGUCGCUGUCAAAGAUGACUCUUGCCUUUGCCCUCCUCUUAAUGACAUCUCCUCCCCCCAUACACUCGGACAGCUUUAAGAAUAAAAACAAGAAAUUCCAUUCUGAACACAUCGACAUCACCGUUUGACCAUCAUUCACAUCAAAGGGUGAUCCAAUAUGAUCAUCGCUACAUUUUUAUUUAUAGCGGUCAACAAAGCCUUACGACCACCUGGGGGUAGUUUAUGAUGUAGUGAGUGUAUGCGGCCAUGCUGGGGCAUUACCUUGAAGGGUUUAGUGGAUCAAAUUGCAAAUUGCUCCCGGUACUUAUUCUAAAGUAUGGUAUUUAUUUUGUGUCUGUUUUUGCCGAACUGGUAAGUCACGGGGGCGUAAACAGACCAACACGGGUUGUCAAGUGGUGGGCGAACAAAUGAAAACACACACACACACACACACACACAUAUUCCCCAGAAUCUCCCAAAAUUAGAAACCAUUAAUUAUUAUGCAAAUCUGAUAAGAUUAUCCAUUAAGUCAAUCAGGCAUUAUCGAUCUAUGUAAUCACCAUCGCCAUACAUUCCCUCACACACUCGACGAGUUGCCACAUAGUUUGUGUGCCAAGCAGCCCUUUCCAGGCACUAGUCAACCUCAAGUUCCAUCAUGUCGGACUGAACCCGAAACCACACGGUUGCAAAGCGAGCUUCUUAACCACACCGCCAUUCUUGUCACUAGUAUACUAACACCACAAUACCAAUCUUUCCCAUCACUUCACUAUAAAGUCCAUCAACAUCAUAACACAGCCUUCACCAGAAUCAUAACAGCAUAGCAUCAUGUACAGUAAUUCCUCGCCAUAUCGCGGUUCACCUAACGCGCAUUCAGUACAUCGCGGUUCACCUAUCAUGCACUCAGCACAUCGCGGUUCACCUAUCACGCGCUCAGUACAUCGCGGAUUUUUUUGGCUAAUAUAUGUAAAUUUAUAUCGCGGACUCCUCAGUAUAUCGCGGGUUUCUGCGGCCGAUAGGUAUUUAUAUAUUUUUUAGAUUUUAAUUAUUUCUGUGGGAGGUUUUGGAACGUAACACCCGCGAUAGUCGAGGAAUUACUGUAUAUCAUAUUGCCGACAACAUAACCUUCGCUAUUAUUUACAUUCGACGAUAUUUGUCCUCAUCUUGUUUGUUGUUAACACAACGUUUCAGCUGAUAUACCCUCCAGCCUUCUUCAGAUGUCUUGGGGAAAUUUCGAACCUGGGUUCUCAUUCCUAAGGCAUUUUUCGAUGUUAUUAUUAUCAUUAUGUCCCCAAGACACCUGAAGAAGGCUGGAGGGUAUAUCAGCCGAAACGUUGUGUUAACAACAGACAAGAUGAGGAUAAAUAUCCGUCGAAUGUAAAUAAUGUACAUAAUUCCUCAUCUCUUAAAUAUAGAACUGUAUAACUUUCACUGAUAGAGUAAAAUAACGAAGCAAGUUUUGUGAGGUCGUUCAACCUGCAAUACAAAGCAGCUAAAUUUCCCCCGAAAUCAUUACCACGAAUCAAAUGUAAGAUAAUAUAGAGCUGAUACACACGAUUUAAAACGGCGCGAUGGUCACAAAUUGAAUGCCUGUCAUCGUAGAAUUUCUGAAUUAACAUUAUCCUUCCUUUUCUACUUUAGGCACAAGGACUGAAAUGUUUUUUUAGAGAAAGCUAGUUGAUUACAUUGACACCCACCAGCGCUCCAUUUUUGCUUAUUUCGUCAAGCCCGGAAGGAUCAAAUGCAAUGUCGACCUCGGCGGAAUUUGUACUCAGAAUGCAAAGACGGACGUUUUUACGUUUAUGUCUAAACGUAAAAAUCGAUCUCAGCCAGAUUUGAGCUCAAUGAUAGAUACGUAAAGCACAGUUAAUAGCAAUAUUACGGCAUUCAACGUAAAUUUGUAUAUACAAUGUAAAACGGACGAAAUACAGCUAAGUAUUUUGUCCGGCGUGCUAACGAUUCAGUCGGCACCAACAACCACUGUGACAAAAUUGUUUGACUUUCCAAGCAGAUCAACACAAUAUUACAUCCUUCAUCCACAUCACUGAAAUCAGAUUUACUCUUUACUCUUUAACUUGUUUCAGUCAUUUGACUGCAGCCAUGCUGGAGCACCGCAUUUAGUCGAGCAAAUCGACCCCGGGACUUAUUCUUUGUAAGCCCAGUACUUAUUCUAUCGGUCUCUUUUGCCGAACUGCUAAGUGACGGGGACGUAUACACACCAGCAUCGGUUGUCAAGCAAUGCUAGGGGGACAAACACAGACACACACACAUACACGCAUAUAUAUAUAUAUAUAUAUAUAUAUAUAUACGACAGGCUUCUUUCAGUUUCCGUCUACCAAAUCCACUCACAAGGCUUUGGUCGGCCCGAAGCUAUAGUAGAAGACACUUGCCCAAGGUGCCACGCAGUGGGACUGAACCCGGAACCAUGUGGUUAGUAAGCAAGCUACUUACCACACAGCCACUCCUGCGCCUAGAUUUGCUAAUGAUAUUUCAAUCACCAUUUUCGCCAUCAUCCCCGCAUCAUAGACUUACAAGAAGUACAUUAAUCAUCAAUCAUUCCAGUGUUUCCUCAGAGAACAAGAACCCUCUUCGACUAUCUUUCCAUCAUACGUUUUCUCUACAAGUAGUAAAUCAUUUGACAGGAGUUCAAACUGAAACAUCAACAGCUGCGAUUUAACUUCGAAGUGUUGCCUGCAUCUACGUGUAAAUUUUACAGUCGCACAAUUUCAUCUCGUCUCAUAUCAUUCUUCUUAGCAUGUGCGUGUGUAUGUUUAUGCGUGCGCACGCACACGCAUACACAAGGGCUUAGUCUCAAAGGCCGUUUGUAUCUUAGAAAUACUCAUAGAUGCACGCGUAUAAGCACACACCUAUUUGUAUUUAUAGACAGACAGACAGACAUAUAUAUAUAUACACACAUACAUACAUACACACAUAUAUAGAGGUACAUUGUGUAGUAUGUAUAACAUACAAAUAUAAAAAUAAAAGCGAUGAUAGAGAGAAGAGGCAAGAAAACAUUGACUUAGACCGUUUAACAAACCGAGAAACUGACCGACCGACAGACAGAAUACACAGAACAGAUUCGGCAGAAAGGAGAUUGUAUUUAUCUAAAUACUUUCGAAUUCCGUUGAAAUCGAGUGACACCAAAUUUUUGUCUCUUAUUUCCGAUCGGAAAUAAAGUUGGUUUCUUUAGAAUUCCCCAUACGUCUCUUAAUCUUUGAUUAGCUCUAAACUAUAUUCGAUAUUCCCAUCUCUGACGGCUAUGCUUUUGUCCCGAGUUCUACCAUCGUUACUUAACAAACACCUUGCCUUCAUUGUCACGACCGUGUUGUCUUGAAAAUGUAAAAGUAUUCCUAUGUUUGUUUGUUGGUUGGUUUUUGCAGUUUUUUUUUUAUAUUUUAUAUUUAUGUGUAUGUUUGUUUUUCUAUGGAGUUAACUUACUUCCGGUAUUAUAGUAUUUAAAGUCAAUGCUUCUACUAAGAUUCAGGAUGAAUUUAAGCUGAAGCAAAUUACAUUAAAUAGUUCAUCGUUCCUUCAUAUAAACACGAAAUAUACACCCAUGUACACAUAUACAUACAUAUAUUCAAUACACACACGCCCACACACAUAUAUACAUAUAUGCAUAUACACACACGUAAGUAUAUAAACAUACAUACACGCACACGUGUGUGUGUGUGUGUGUGUGUGUGUGUGUAUAUAUAUAUAUAUAUAUAUAUAUAUAUAUACAUACAUACAUGUGUGCGUGUAUGUAUGUUUAUAAACAUAUGUGUGCAUGUAAAUAUAUAUAUAUAUAUAUAUAUCUAUAUAUAUAUAUAUAUAUAUAUAUACACAUAAGUAUAUUCAGUACAUUUUACAGAAACGUACACAAAUAUAUAAAUACACAUAUAUUCAAUACCGACAUGUGUACAUACAUAUCUACACACACGCACAAACACAUACACAUGUACAUAUCCAUUCAUAUAUGUACAUAUUUAUACACAUAUAUGCUUGCAUGUAAGUGCGUGUGUGUAUAUAUAUAUAUAUAUAUGUGUGUAUAUAUAUAUAUAUAUAUAGACAUACAUAUACACACAUACAUAUACACAUAAUUAUAGAUAUAUGCAUACAUCCACAAGCACGUGUGUGAUUGUAUAGAUGUGUGUGUGAUUGUAUAGAUGAGUUCUGAAGUAAUGUAGCAGUCAACUUUUACGUCACUUACCACGUAACUCGUCAUUCUUGAUUGAAGUCUAUAAGUUCACCUGGUCACAGACUCUAAGAGACCAGUCAGUAUAUAUGAUAACUCUCUUCUUCAAGUCAGCACUGAUGGAAAGAGCCAACGAACAGAGGCGUUCUUGCCGUGACCAUCCCGACCUUUUCAUUCCAAAACCUAUUUUUAGCAGCAUCAGAACCAUGCUAUAAAUACGUAUAUAUACUCUUUUUACUCUUUUACUUGCUUCAGUCAUUUGACUGCGGCCAUACUGGAGCACCGACUUUAGUCGAGCAAAUCUAGCCCAGGACUUAUUCUUUGUAAGCCAAGUACUUAUUUCUAUCGGUCUCUUUUGCCGAACCGCUAAGUUACGGGGACGCAAACACAUCAGUAUCGGUUGUCAAGCGAUGUUGGGGGCGGGGGGGGGGGACAAACACACACACACACACAUAUACAAAUAUAUAUAUAUACGACGGGCUUCUUUCAGUUUCCGUCUACCAAAUCCACUCACAAAGCUUUGGUCAGCCCGAGGCUAUAGUAGAAGAGAGUUGACCAAGGUGCCACGCAGUGGGACUGAACCCGGAACCAUGUGGUUGGUAAGCAAGCUACUUGCCACACAGCCACUCCUGUUCAGAAUUUGUUUCUGAUAUAGUUACUUAUCCCAUGUCAGCCUUGUUCGAGCAGACUUGUGUUUGAAAGCAUUCCGGCCAUAACAACCCUGUCUUUUUCUUAUAUAUAGAAAUGCCCUGCAGACCUUCUUUCACUUGCGGUACACUUAUAUUCUUUUCAAAAUUCGGCGGCACACUUGAAGUAAAAGCAUAGGGAAAAAUUAUACCGAGGGUACACUGUUGUUUGUUGUUAACACAAUGUUUCGUCUGAUUUACUCCCCAGCCUUCAUCAGGUGUCUUGGGGAAAUUUUGAACCUGGCUUCUCAUUUCUAAGGUAUUUUUCGAUGUUAUUAUUAUUCAGAUCACUGCCUGGAAUCUGAAGAUGGCAUAGUGGUUAAGAGCGCGAGCUACUAACUCCAAGAUUCCGAGUUCGAUUCCAGGCAGUGACCUGAAUAAUAAUAAUAAUAAUAAUAAUAAUAAUAAUAUCGAAAAAUACCUUAGGAAUGAGAACGCAGGUUCGAAAAUUCCCCAAGACACCUGAUGAAGGCUGGAGGGUAUAUCAACCGAAACGUUGUGUUAACAACAAACAAGAUGAGGAUAAAUGUAAAUAAUGUACUUCAUUUCACGUUACUCCAGUCCAUUCAGCUGGCAAAACUGAGUAACCCUGCGACAGACCGGCGUCCCAUCCAGGUAGGGAAUUUAUACACUAUGUAAGCCGGCCCUGUAAGUCGGCAUGACUCGUAAACGUAUAUUUGCCUAACUUUUAUACCUAGUCCAAAUAUUCUACCUGUUUUAUAUUCAAGUAAGCUAGCUUCGGCCUCUUACACCUGCCCGACAAUGUCAUUCUGAAAAUAAACAACCAUAUCAUCGAAAUCUCGAAAAUAUGAGAGUUGUGUGAUAAGAAGCUGCGUUCCACCUUGGGCAAAGUGUUUUGUUCUAUAGCCUCGGGCCGACUAAAGCCUUGUAAGUGGAUUUGUUGACGGAAACUGAAAGAAGGUUCUCGUAUAUGUAUAUAACUAUGUUCAUCUUUAUGUCUCUGUUUGUCCCUCACCACCACUCGACAACCGUUGUUGGUGUGUUUACAUCCCCGUAAACUAGUGGUUUGGCAAAAGAGACCGAGAAAAAUAUUGGAGUCGAUUUUUUCGACUAAAAUUCUUGAAGGCGUGACCCCAGUAUGGCCGCAGUUUAAUGACUGAAAUAGAUAAAUAAUAAAAGAUACAAGAUAAAAUCACCGUUACAUUUGAAAGAGUAAUCUGAAUAUAAAAGCGAUAAGUAAUAUGAGGGAUAUUUAGCUGAUCUUUCUAGUAGUUCGAAUGAUCGCGUACAGGCACCCUCAGUGCCUUACUCCAGCUACAUUUAGGUGGAAGAGUAUAAUGGUGAUUAGUAUCUGCCCGGUGUCUUAUAAGUUACUAUACGUAUUCCGUGUGUACUAUUCACAGCGUAUGAAUUUCCUCUCGCAUUAAUGGCGAAUUCUUUCGUCUGAAAUGCUGUUGCAUUAAGCUCGCUUUAAUCUACAUACUAAACAGUCAUUGUACGUGAGGCCUAUUGUCUUGGAUUAUAGAGCACCAUAUAAUCUCAGAACGAAUGCAUGAGAUAAAAAUCUACUUCGGUAACUCGACUUCCUGUAAAUAACAGCUAAGUCUCCUGUAGAUAAUCCCAAGGUACUGUCCUAAAAAGGGAAGGAUAUAUUAAAUGAUAUAGUCGUAGAUACGCAUACCAAGGUGGGAUGGUCACAGCUGGAAUUCCUUUCAUAAUAGAUCUGCAUAGAGUUAACCCGGAACAAGCAAUUACAACGAAUGGACGUUGUUGGUAACAUUUCAAUGGUUCAAAAAAGAACAAAUUUAUUUGAAAUUUUGGCACUAAACUAGCAAUUUUUAGGAGGGAUGGUUAACUUGAUUAUAUCGAUCCCAGUACUCGAGGACUAUUUUAUUGACCUCGAAAGGACAAAAGACCAGGUUGACCUGGGUGGGAUUUGAACUCAGAACGCAAAGAAUCUGUAGAGUCCGGUGCGCUAACAAGUGUGCCAGCUCCUAUUAAUGAUUUAACAAGGUCAGUAAUUGUGGGUUACCCCUUGGAUGUGCAGUUCUAUAUUUAAGAGAUGAGGAAUUAUGUACAUUAUUUACAUUCGACGGAUAUUUACCCCCAUCUUGUUUGUUGUUAACACAACGUUUCGGCUGAUAUACCCUCCAGCCUUCUUCAGGUGUCUUGGGGAAAUUUCGAACCUGGGUUCUCAUAAUAUUCCUUAGGAAUGAGAACCCAAGUUCAAAAUUUCCCUGAAGAAGGCUGGAGGGUAUAUCAGCCGAAACGUUGUGUUAACAACAAAGAUGUGUUUGACUGCAGCGAUUCAAGGAUAUAACUGGUACUAAGAUUUUAUCAUUGAGCACAGCCAUAAAUUGUGGGGUAUCCUUGGGGGUGGUGUUGACUAGAGCGAUAUCAGGUUAUAACUGGUAUUCAGAUAUCGAUCACACAAAGAAGUUUUGGUGUCGUCGUUUUAUUGGUAUUAUUUUGAUCGGUAGAAGAAACUAUACGCAUGAAUUUUGUUUUUUAUACGAGGUCAGUGAUAUUGGAUGUUAUGAACGUUUCCUCUGGGUGUAAGUCUACAACUGCAGGAAAAAAAUAUAUGUGCGGAGGAGGAAUUACGAGGGGCGAGGAGACACGAUCGAAUUAGAAGUCCAUCUGGCGCGAGUUUAGUCUCCGAGGAGAAGACACUACAACGAGAAGUGAAUGGAAGCAGCAAAAUGCUCUCCACACGAGAAUGGCCUCUACACCUGCAAAUAACGAAUGCCAAGUAGAGUAAUAUUGAUAACAAUGACCAUAUGGUUCGAAGAAAUUAUAUCAGUAUGGAAAACGAAUAACUAAGAUGUAGACUAGGACUACUGGGGAGAUUGGAUACUCUGUUACAAUAAUUUAUUACCUCUCAUACAUACGUUACGCAGAUAGGGUUAAGAUUCCGGCUGUGUCCUUUUGAAGCAUAUCUGCUUAUUUCAGUAUUCCAAAUCCGUAUGUUGAUGUUAUAUAUUUGUGAGAGUGCAUAAGAGUUGAAAAUACUGAAAAAUAUUUCAUUCUCUACCUGAGGAAUUUGUAAUAGAUGUUUUGCGUAGCAAAUGAAACACAUGUAAAAAAUUUCCAAUCUCCUGUUUACACACACACAUACACACACACACUCUCUCUCUCUUCAUUGCUCUCUUUCUGACACACAUACAUACACACUGUACUGAGUACUGACACGUAAAUAAAACACCAUCUAUAUUUCUUUAGAUGAUGUUAAGACCGCACCAAAUAAGACAGGCCUAAGGAAACGACACACACACACACAAGCCAAUGAGUGCUCUCUCUCUCUCUCUCUCCUCCCCUUCUCUCUCUAAAUAUAAGUUUGUUUGUAUUUGUGUUAUAACGUUUUAGUAAACAUUCCAAUGACGUUUUGUUCUUUGUUAUAGAUGGUCCGAUUAUCAACACUUGGAAAUUUCCACUCCAAAACGCAGGAUUAGGCAAGGUUCUAUAUGGAAAACCACCAAUUGCCCCUGGAAGCAAGUUGCCCCGCUCCACAACACCGAUGUUGUUCAAGGAAAAAGGUACGCUCAAUAUUAUUUCGUACUGAUUUUAGGAGACAAGUAAUUAGAUCUCUACCUAUUAUCGGAUUUUGUUAGGGCCCCAUAUGGUAAAGAUAUGGAUGGGAAAAAUGUGGGUAGAUGGUGAUGUUCUAGCAACCCUUAUUGCUUUACUAAGUAUACAACAACAAAAAAUAAAUACGCGGAGGCAGCCAUGGUUGAAACAAGAACAAGAAAUAUAAGCAUUCUUAAGAGAAAAGAAGAAUGGUCAUUCCUUACCCAAGUGCCCUUAUGUUAUCGCCCAUCACUUGUUAUGCGCUCAUAAAUUAGUUUGAUAGUUGAGAUGUGAUUGGCUGUAUGCAAAUGAGUUCAUAACUGGGGUCCGGAACUCUCGUGGGGAAAAAAUUUCGCGUCCAAGACUGCUUAUUGAGUAUUCGUAACCACUCUGUAUAUAUAGAAGCCAUUCCACUAUCCUGGGGCCCCGAUGAGUGGGAGUUAUUACCACACCACUGUGCCUAUAGUAAAUAGAAAAAAGAAAUUGUCUCUAUUUGUAGAGCAUGAGUCAUUUGGUUAUUAUGAUACAAUAUCUAGACGUGGAGAUGAUUUUAAUGAAUCAUCUGUUUACGUUGUUCUGUAUUUGAUAUAUCUGUAUAUGUCUCUGUUGUUCAUGCCUCUGGCCACUCUGUGUUACUUCUAUUAGCUCAGUUUUGUUUGAAAAUAUAAUAAUGUAUGCUUUGACUACUGUGUGGACUGAGAUGCCCUGUGACAGCUGAUUAGAAUACGUUUGUAGCUAUUUAAUUUAGGUCUUUUAAGUUAGGUAAUCAGAAGUUUUGAUGUUACUGUGGUGUAAUAGUUAGUCGAGUUGUACAAUUUGCAGCAGACGCGGCGUUCAGAUCUCGUUGGCGAUGUUACUUUAUUUUUCUGCUUUCAGAGCGGCGAGCUGGCAGAAACGUUAAUACGCCGGGCGAAAUGCUUCGCGGUAUUUCGUCUGCCGUUGCGUUCUGAGUUCAAAUUCCGCCGAGGUCGACUUUGCCUUUCAUCCUUUCGGGGUCGAUAAAUUAAGAACCAGUUACGCACUGGGGUCGAUGUGAUCGACUUAAGCCGUUUUUCUGUCCUUGUUUGUCCCCUCUGUGUUUAGCCCCUUGUGGGUAGUAAAGAUAAAAGGUCGACUUUGCCUUUCAUCGUCUCGGGGUCGAUAAAUUAAGUAUCAGUUGUGUACUGGGGUCGAUCUUAUCGAUUGGACCCCUCCCUCAAAAUCUGGGGCUUUGUACCUACAGUAGGAAAUAAUAUUUUUCUUUCUUCUUCUUCUUCCCCUAACGCUAGUCGCCUGAUAUUGAGGAACGUGAAAAACCGUGAAGCAGCUCUCAUACCUUUCACUAAAUCAUAUUUUACCUUAUUGAAAAAUUCCGAGUAUCAUUUCUUAUAACCACGUACACAGAUGUGUUCCAUUGAUUAGUGUGUGUGUAUGUGUAUGUGUAACAACUGGAGGCUUGAGACUGUUCUGAAAAUAUUCCAAAUAAACCAAAUAAUGCCAAACAUAUACAAAAUAAAACCAAAAAUAAUGACAAUAACCCGCC
rnacentral:lncRNA from 1 species